rnacentral:lncRNA from 1 species
UUGUCUAUAUUUAAUGUUUCAUACAUGUGCCACAAGAUUCGAUAUGAUAGAGAAUCUUGAAAACUUUUUGAUUUUAAAAAAGGCGCUAGCUAUCGGUUCGUCAUCUGGCCACCUCCCGUCCCAGGUGGGGCAACUGUACGUCUUCGCGUCUCGAAAGUGUAUUUGGAUGCUCUGACCUUUCUUCGACCAUGCGCAAUAAGAUACCAUAUGGAAGUAGGGCGUACGUGUGAGCCACGCGUGCCACACUUCUUUUUAUUUUUUUUUUCACGCACGCACGUGUAGUUGCAUAUGUGUACCCUUGUCUAUCUAAAAGGUGCACUUUUGACUACAUUUUCUAGUUCUUAUAAGUUAUAUACUAAUAUUUAUGAUAUUUAAUACUAAUAAUCAUUAGAUUUAGAAACUGUCUACUUAGCAUUUGGGUGUUUCAGGGUGUCUGACACUUGAAAGUUGGAUGCCACCUAAACACCUAAUUGAGAACAAAAGUAAAAUCGAGUGUUUAUGAUCCAUGAAAAAACUCAUUUCUCGUAAUCACUGCAUUGGGAUCAAAUGAACCAAACAGAACUUAUCAAAAAAAUAUGAAAAUUUUUAAUAAAACAAUGCAAAGACAAAAAAAACCAGAUUAGCUAGAUGUCGCCAGG